rnacentral:snRNA from 1 species
GCGCUCACUUCAGUAGCAGGCAUUCUAUAGCUGUGAUAGACAGAAGAUUAGCACGGCCCUGCCCAAGGAUGAUGGGCAAAUCCAUCAAGCCUUACAUACUUCU